UGGGGAAUAUUGGACAAUGGGCGAAAGCCUGAUCCAGCCAUGCCGCGUGAGUGAUGAAGGCCUUAGGGUUGUAAAGCUCUUUUACCCGGGAAGAUAAUGACGGUACCGGGAGAAUAAGCCCCGGCUAACUUCGUGCCAGCAGCCGCGGUAAUACGAAGGGGGCUAGCGUUGUUCGGAUUUACUGGGCGUAAAGCGCACGUAGGCGGAUCUUUAAGUCAGAGGUGAAAUCCCAGGGCUCAACCCUGGAACUGCCUUUGAUACUGGGGAUCUCGAGUCCGGGAGAGGUGAGUGGAACUGCGAGUGUAGAGGUGAAAUUCGUAGAUAUUCGCAAGAACACCAGUGGCGAAGGCGGCUCACUGGCCCGGAACUGACGCUGAGGUGCGAAAGCGUGGGGAGCAAACAGG
rnacentral:rRNA from 1 species